GAUGAACGCUGGCGGCGUGCCUAAUACAUGCAAGUAGAACGCUGAAGGAAGGAGCUUGCUCUUUCCGGAUGAGUUGCGAACGGGUGAGUAACGCAUAGGUAACCUGCCUGGUAGCGGGGGAUAACUAUUGGAAACGAUAGCUAAUACCGCAUAACAGUAGAUGUUGCAUGAUAUCUACUUAAAAGGUGCAAUUGCACCACUACCAGAUGGACCUGCGUUGUAUUAGCUAGUUGGUGAGGUAACGGCUCACCAAGGCGACGAUACAUAGCCGACCUGAGAGGGUGAUCGGCCACACUGGGACUGAGACACGGCCCAGACUCCUACGGGAGGCAGCAGUAGGGAAUCUUCGGCAAGGGACGGAAGUCUGACCGAGCAACGCCGCGUGAGUGAAGAAGGUUUUCGGAUCGUAAAGCUCUGUUGUAAGAGAAGAACGAGUGUGAGAGUGGAAAGUUCACACUGUGACGGUAUCUUACCAGAAAGGGACGGCUAACUACGUG
rnacentral:rRNA from 1 species